CCCUUAGAUGUUCUGGGCCGCGCGCGCGCCACACUGACUGCUCCAACAAGUUACCUGGGCUGACAAGCAUCCGGGAAAUCUUGCAAAGGCAGUCGUGAUGGGGAUAGAUUCUUGUAAUUUUUGAUCUUCAACGAGGAAUUCCUAGUAAACGCAAGUCAUCAGCUUGCAUUGAUUACGUCCCUGCCCUUUGUACACACCGCCCGUCGCACCUACCGAUUGAAUGGUCCGGUGAAAUCUUCGGAUUGAGACUUUGAUUUCUUCACGGAAAACACUGUUUUAAAAAGUUGAUUAAACCUUACCAUUUAGAGGAAGGUGAAGUCGUAACA
rnacentral:rRNA from 1 species